rnacentral:rRNA from 1 species
GGUUAAGUUAGAAAGGGCGCACGGUGGAUGCCUUGGCACUAGGAGCCGAAGAAGGACGGGACUAACACCGAUAUGCUUUGGGGAGCUGUACGUAAGCGUUGAUCCAGAGAUUUCCGAAUGGGGGAACCCACUAUCUUUAGUCGGAUAGUAUCCUUACGUGAAUACAUAGCGUGAGGAAGGCAGACCCAGGGAACUGAAACAUCUAAGUACCUGGAGGAAGAGAAAGAAAAAUCGAUUUCCUGAGUAGCGGCGAGCGAAACGGAAAGAGCCCAAACCAAGAAGCUUGCUUCUUGGGGUUGUAGGACACUCUAUACGGAGUUACAA